rnacentral:rRNA from 1 species
UAACACGGGGGGAGCAAGCGUUGUUCGGAAUCACUGGGCGUAAAGGGCGUGUAGGCGGUUGCGUAAGUGGAAUGUGAAAUCCCCCGGCUUACCCGGGGACCUGCAUCCCAAACUGCGCGACUUGAGUAUGGGAGAGGAUGAGGGAAUUCCUGGUGUAGCGGUGAAAUGCGUAGAUAUCAGGAGGAACACCGGUGGCGAAGGCGCUCAUCUGGCCCAAUACUGACGCUGAGGCGCGAAAGCUAGGGUAGCGAACGGGAUUAGAUACCCCGGUAGUCCUAGCCGUAAACGGUGAGCACUAGGUGUUGGAGGCAUCGACCCCUCCAGUGCCGCAGCUAACGCAUUAAGUGCUCCGCCUGGGGAGUACGGCCGCAAGGUUG